rnacentral:lncRNA from 1 species
GCAAAGGUUACAUAAAUUAGUGUCAUUUAGAGCUUAGGAAUUCAAAUUCGAUGGUGUUAAUGGCUUCUUGAAGCUUUUUUCAUUCCUAUAUUUAUUCACUAUAUCUUCCUUCUCGUUGUUUAUGAGCAAUAAGUAAAGAGCCGACUUUUGCUGGUUCUUAGAUUAGUGAAUAUAUGAACAUUAGUGUUUCAAUGCUUUACGCUCUAUGCUACCAUGGAAAAGAUCGAACAAAAUGGAUUGUCGUGAGCGUUGCAUACUAAAUCUUGGCUGACAGAACUGUAGGUGCAUAUGUAGUAACGGUCGUGCUUGCAAUUGUUCCAUUCCAACAGUAUUGAUUAAAGCAAGAAGCACAUUGACUUGGAGUCGACAUGUUUUUGCGUUCCAAGGAACGUUGAACGAGAGCGCAUGCAACGCAGACAGCAAAUGAAUCACUGUUAUUUUGGGUAGCAGCAACAGCGGCAUUUUCAAUCAUUCCACUGGACAAAGUAUCUUCCAGUUGAACAGUGUAGGUAGUGACAUUUGCAUACAUAGUCCAAGGAUAGUUGGGGAAGUAAACUACAAGAGGAGGAGUAUCGUCAUUAACGGUAUGGUUUCCGGCUGUGGUGUUUCUACCGUCGCAACCGAAGAAAGUUGGAUGAGUGUUCAAACCAAGAGCCAAAAAUGUGUUGGUAUCAGGAAUAUAUGGGAAACCACGAACGCCAGAGGAGUUAGUGGCUAAAACUCUUUCAUAUGUAGAAACUAGGGACGAUCCAUCUGGCCAUCCACUCGUUGCGCUUUGAUAACCCCCGUCAAUCGCAAAAAUAACAUCUACGUCUCUUUGUGGAUGAAGCAAGGGCCAAAAGGGAAUACCUUCACUAUCUGAGCCACCGUCUAUUAAUUCAAUAAUGGGAUACGGCUCCAAGGGAUUGGUAGUGGUUGUAUUGGAAGCAUUUCCAUAACCUUGGUAAGGGUUGGGAUAAAGACCUACAUCCAAUUGAUCUUCGGCAAGCAUUUCGAGGAAACUAAGGACAGCAUUGUUAAAGGUAUUAUUACUAGCGGUGAGUGAUGCAUUUGUCGCAGGAAGGAUACCGCUAAAAACAUUUGAAGAGGUACCCAUGAGGAAACCAGCGUUGUCGAAAUUACGCACACAGGAUUCAUUAAGAGGAAUGCCAUUAAUAAGGUGUGUACCUGUAUACUCCAUGGGUAUAAAUGAUUCCACCCCAGUGUCCCAAGUACCAAAUUCGAUGGGUGUAAAUUCAAAGACAGUGUCGUUCAAAGGGAUUACGGUUUCACCCUCUAUGACAUUAUCAGCAAUGAUGAUGGGAAAGGGAAAUUCACCAUCCUGGAACCACGUUUCAUUUGUUACACUAGAGAAUGUAGUAUUAGCACCUCCAGUCAAAGGAUUGACAAGCUUAAGAGCCAAAGCACGGCCCCAAAGGUCAGUAAUGGAGACAUUGAAUCCAGCAUUCUUCUUUUGCAGAACUUGCUCAAACCACUCUUGGUAAAUAUAAAAGUUCUCAAAAGCGUCGUCAUAGGGAGCGAAGAGACUGUGGUCCAGGUUCCAAACGUCGUCGUGCAAGAAAGUAAUAUUGGCAAAGUUGUUAACCGCAACAGAUCCCACAAGCCAAGAGCCACCAGAAAGACCAGUAAGGUACAUGGAAGAUUGAAGAAUACCACCAAGAGACGUAGUGUUACCAUUUCUAGCAUCAAAUGCAUUAAUAGCGCCGGCUCCCGUUAACAUGGCAGGAAAUCCACCGCCAGAGAUUGCAAUUCCCAAACGAGGGCCAUCUGUGUCAUUCAGCACACUUUUUGUAUCGAUUUUUAAGCCGGUUUUUGAAAUAAAGCUUUCCAAUGCACUGUUAACCUUUGAGACACGUUUGUCAACAAAUUCUUGUUCACCAGUACUAAGGCCAUCGGAGGCAGGUCGAAGCAGAGAGCCACUAGGGCAAGCAACAGUAUAAGGCGCAUACGAUGGGCUUGUGCUACGCUUGGAAAGGGGUAUAGAGUUUGCUGGCUUAUCAACGUUAUCGGGUUUCAAUAAUCCGAUUAGUUCUGGGUCUGAAACGUCUACUUCAUCGAUACGAGAAGGAAGGCCCAAGGCCGGCAAAAGCUGGAGAGCGAGAAAUAAUCCAAAGGAAGAUAAUUUCAUGUUUAAAAAAAAAUAAAAUAAAAAUUAAAAAAGCAAGGUUGGUUUAAUAAAGGAUAAAAGGAUAGAAUACGGUCAAUGAUUCGUUUUUAAAAAAAGUUCGAAUUUUUCAAUUUUCUCUGAAUCCAAAAAAAGCAAGAGAGUGAUUAACAAACAGCGAGUUUCUAAAGUCUGAAUUUUUUGAAAUUUUCUGAGAAUGAAAAAAAUCAAGACAAUGAAAGUAAUCAAUUAAAGAGCUUUCAAUUGUCAAUUCCCAAUCUAGUAAGUUCAACGAAAAAUAUUUAGAUAUCUAGAGAGUCCGUCGAGCUACAAUGUCAAUAAAAGCAAAUUAAGCAUUUGAUGGAGCGGUUCGGCAAGCGAUGAGCUUAAACUAUAUUUCCAUCAGGACACCUAGUUUUGUCGAAAAGGUUGGGAUGAGACAGGAUUUCGACAUAUUUCCAAGAAAAUAAUAUCAUGUUCUUUUUUAUGAUUUAACCUAUCUUUUUCCAUUGAAAUAAAAAAAUCCCAAUUCAAAUUUUCAAGUUGGGAUUUUGCUUACCCACCGUCCGUUUUAGGAAUAGACAGACGUUUUUGCUCAUUUCCUUGCCAAACACAAACCGGCCUUGCCAACUUUCUAGGCAUUUGUAAAUUGCUUGCUUACCUACACAGAUCACACUAAAGAAGGAUGAAUCACUGAUUGUUUGUUUUAACGGGAUUUACCGAUUCAAUCACUAAAGUUGCAACCUUUAUUCAUUUAUUCCCAAGUGCUAUAUAUAUAAUAUAUAUAGGCUUUUGAGGAUGAACUCACUUGUAGACUCACUUUUCGCAUGACCCACGUUUCUCAUGAUCUGCUUACCUUGAUCCGCAAUUCGGCGUGGACUAGAAGGAACUCCGAAGAUGCCAUCUAUGAUGUUAACGAUUUUCUAUAUGUAGCACCGUGAGAUUAUGAAAUGGUGGUCAUAUUACUAAGUCUUUAGAUGCCAGUUGGAGUUGGAUUGCCUAGUUAUCAUUAGCAUUCAUGGGUACCAUUUAUGCCCUAUUCAAUAAAUAUUUCAGCGAUUCUAUAAUGGAAUAUUUAGAUCAACCUAGGCUCAGCUUUAAAUGACGGGAUGAAUAUCAACGGCUAAAUUUAUAAACGGAUACCAACCCGAUUGCUGCGAACUCACGGAUGUAAAAUUGUCUGGUAAUGCAAAUCAUCGACAAGUCCAUGAUGAAACGACUUUCUAUUUUUUUUUUACUUCUAUUAACGUCAUUUAAUGUCCAACUCUUCUAGGAAAUCCCCAAAUUCGAAUAUUCAAUAAGGUAAUGGGGUGCGAUGUUUUUAGUUGAUUCACAUUGGAAAUAUUUCAAUUCGAGAUAUGAAAAACCAUUGAUAGAAACAGAUAGAGUAGAAGUUAUUGCUUGAUGCAACAAAAUUUGAAGAUUUGUUAAUUUACAGAUUUGCUAUUCUACAAAGUCUCAUCCCUACAAGCAGAAAUGGAUCUGAAUAGCGAUCGCUUUAGUUAGGUCAUAAGAUCGGCAGUCUAAACGUUGACCGCACAUGGCUACAUUGUAGCCUUUAUAUUCUUUCUUUCUAUUCCAGUUAUAAGCUGAUACAGUAGAUCUUGAAUUUCAUCAGUUUGUCAAAAUAUCUCUCUCGUUUUAUCAUACUUUACAAACCCAAAACACAAACAUAAGAAACUGCACUGAACUAAAUGCAAAGCUAUAAGGUAUUGUAACAAGCUCACAAUGUGAUAUAUA